rnacentral:misc_RNA from 1 species
UGUCACACAAAGUUUUUUCAUGAAUCUCCAGUAGUCUCCAUAUGGAGCACUAAUGAAGCCAAAGUUCUGAAAUAAUAACCCUUCAUCGAAAGGAGUUUUGGGUUUAUUUGAGAAGGUGAGGUCAUUGGUUUUGAAGAUCUCAGCAGCAUAUGAAGCUGAUGAGACCACAAGGAGAGGAAGAGAACCAAGGUGGAGAGAGAGGAGAGGGCCGUGUUUAGUUGCAAGAUUAUGUAAGCAUUUGAAUCCCACUCUACCAAGGUGGUGGAGGUGACCAAUAAAUGGAAGGGAUGGUGGGCUUGGAGGAAGGUGGAGAAUCGGCUUAAUGGGUUUCUUGAAGUGGUAUUUUAGUAGAAAGCCUGAGAUGAGCCACAGAAAGAAGAAGAUUAAGUAAGGGAAAG